CCAACCCUGGAAACGGUUCAGCCGGAGGUAGGGUCCAGUGGCCGGAAGAGCACCGCACGUCGCGCGGUGUCCGGUGCGCCCCCGGCGGCCCAUGAAAAUCCGGAGGACCGAGUACCGUUCACGCCCGGUCCACCUCAUAACCGCAUCAGGUCUCCAAGGUGAACAGCCUCUGGCCAAUGGAACAAUGUAGGCAAGGGAAGUCGGCAAAACGGAUCCGUAACUUCGGGAAAAGGAUUGGCUCUGAGGACUGGGCUCGGGGGUCCCGGCCCCG
rnacentral:ncRNA from 1 species